GAAUCUUCCGCAAUGGGCGCAAGCCUGACGGAGCAACGCCGCGUGAGUGAUGAAGGCCUUCGGGUUGUAAAACUCUGUCUUCUGUGAAGAACAAGCCUGUGAGUGGAAAGCUCAGGCCCUGACGGUAACAGAGGAGGAAGCCCCGGCUACCUACGUGCCAGCAGCCGCGGUAAUACGUAGGGGGCAAGCGUUGUCCGGAUUCACUGGGCGUAAAGCGCGCGCAGGCGGUCAUCUGCGUCCGGGGUGAAAACCCAGAGCUCAACUCUGGGACUGCCUUGGAUACGGGGUGACUUGAGGAUCGGAGAGGCAAGGGGAAUUCCACGUGUAGCGGUGAAAUGCGUAGAGAUGUGGAGGAACACCUGUGGCGAAGGCGCCUUGCUGGCCGAUUUCUGACGCUGAGGCGCGAAAGCGUGGGGAGCAAACAG
rnacentral:rRNA from 1 species